rnacentral:rRNA from 1 species
UACGGGGGGAGCAAGCGUUGUCCGGAAUUACUGGGCGUAAAGGGCGCGUAGGCGGCCUUCUAAGUCAGACGUGAAAUCCCCCGGCUUAACCUGGGAACUGCGUCUGAUACUGGGAGGCUUGAGUAUGGGAGAGGGAUGUAGAAUUCCAGGUGUAGCGGUGAAAUGCGUAGAUAUCGGGAGGAACACCAAUGGCGAAGGCAGCUCGCUGGGACGUUACUGACGCUGAGACGCGAAAGCGUGGGGAGCAAACAGG